UAAUGGUCAUGGUAUCAGAACAGUCACC
rnacentral:piRNA from 1 species